UGAAUUCCAUUUGGAGGUUGCAGCCUA
rnacentral:piRNA from 1 species